rnacentral:rRNA from 1 species
UGGGCAACCUGCCCUCAGCUCUGGGAUAACCCCGGGAAACCGGGGCUAAUACCGGAUACGACCUCCGCGGGCAUCUGCGGAGGUGGAAAGGUUUUCCGGCUGAGGAUGGGCCCGCGGCCUAUCAGCUAGUUGGUGGGGUGAUGGCCCACCAAGGCGACGACCGGUAGCCGGCCUGAGAGGGCGACCGACCACACUGGGACUGAGACACGGCCCAGACUCCUACGGGGGGCA